CCCAGACUCCUACGGGAGGCAGCAGUGAGGAAUAUUGGUCAAUGGCCGGAAGGCUGAACCAGCCAAGCCGCGUGAGGGAGGAAGGCGCAGAGCGUCGCAGACCUCUUUUGCCGGGGGACAAAAGGCCGGACUCGUCCGGUCCUGAGGGUACCCGGAGAAAAAGCAUCGGCUAACUCCGUGCCAGCAGCCGCGGUAAUACGUAGGGAGCAAGCGUUAUCCGGAUUUAUUGGGUGUAAAGGGUGCGUAGACGGGAAAUUAAGUUAGUUGUGAAAUCCCUCGGCUCAACUGAGGAACUGCAACUAAAACUGGUUUUCUUGAGUGUUGGAGAGGAAAGCGGAAUUCCUAGUGUAGCGGUGAAAUGCGUAGAUAUUAGGAGGAACACCAGUGGCGAAGGCGGCUUUCUGGACAAUAACUGACGUUGAGGCACGAAAGUGUGGGGAGCAAACAGGAUUAGAUACCCCUGUA
rnacentral:rRNA from 1 species